rnacentral:rRNA from 1 species
UACGAAGGGGGGCUAGCGUUGCUCGGAAUCACUGGGCGUAAAGGGCGCGUAGGCGGCGUUUUUAAGUCGGGGGGUGGAAAGCCUGUGGCUCAACCACAGAAUGGCCUUCGAUACUGGGACGCUUGAGUAUGGUAGAGGUUGGUGGAACUGCGAGUGUAGAGGUGAAAAUUCGUAGAUAUUCGCAAGAACACCGAUUGCGAAGGCAGCUCACAAAGCCAUUAUUGACGGCU